UACGGGGGGUGCAAACGUUGCUCGGAAUUAUUGGGCGUAAAGCGCACGUAGGCGGUCCUCUAAGUCGGGUGUGAAAGCCCGGGGCUUAACCCCGGAAGUGCACUCGAAACUGGAGGGCUUGAGUAUGGAAGAGGGUCUCGGAAUUCCCGGUGUAGAGGUGAAAUUCGUAGAUAUCGGGAGGAACACCAGUGGCGAAGGCGGAGCCCUGGGCCAAUACUGACGCUGAGGUGCGAAAGCGUGGGGAGCAAACAGG
rnacentral:rRNA from 1 species